rnacentral:rRNA from 1 species
AUUGAACGCUGGCGGCAGGCCUAACACAUGCAAGUCGAACGAGUGGCGGACGGGUGAGUAAUGUCUGGUAAACCGCCUGAUGGAGGGGGAUAACUACUGGAAAAGGUCUCUAAUACCGCCUUCCAUCGGUUGUGCCCAGGUGGGAUUAGCUAGUAGGUGGGGGAAAGGCUCACCUAGGCGAUGAUCCCUAGCGGGUCUGAGAGGAUGACCGGCAAAACUGGACCUGGGAAACGGUCAGGACUCCUAGGGGGGGCAGCAGGGGGGAAUAUUGGAAAAGGGGCACAGGCCUGAUGAGGCCAGCCGGGUGAGAGGUAGAGGGCCUUCGGGUUGUAAAGUAUUUUCAGCGGGGAGGCGUUACCCGCAGAAGAAGCACCGGCUAACUCCGUGCCAGCAGCCGCGGUAAUAC